rnacentral:lncRNA from 12 species
CCGUGCUAGAGCCCCUCGCCGUGCCCCAGCCCCUGUCCGGGCGCCUGCUGCCAUCUCGCGGCAGCGCCGCCCGCUGAGCCCCGCACAUCAUCACCCGCUCCGCCCCGCACAUCACCCCUCAGCCCCUAACACCAUCACCCGCUGAGCCCCGCACAUCAUCACCCGCUGAGCCCCGCACACCAUCACCCGCUGAGCCCCGCACAUCAUCACCCGCUGAGCCCCGCACACCAUCACCCGCUGAGCCCCGCACACCGCCCGCUGAGCCCCGCACAUCAUCACCCGCUCCGCCCCGCACAUCACCCCUCAGCCCCUAACACCAUCACCCGCUGAGCCCCGCACACCAUCACCCGCUGAGCCCCGCACACCAUCACCCGCUGAGCCCCGCACACCAUCACCCGCUGAGCCCCGCACACCAUCACCCGCUGAGCCCCGCACACCAUCACCCGCUGAGCCCCGCACACCAUCACCCGCUGAGCCCCGCACACCAUCACCCGCUGAGCCCCGCACACCAUCACCCGCUGAGCCCCGCACACCAUCACCCGCUGAGCCCCGCACACCAUCACCCGCUGAGCCCCGCACACCAUCACCCGCUGAGCCCCGCACACCAUCACCCGCUGAGCCCCGCACACCGCCCGCUGAGCCCCGCACAUCAUCGCCCGCUCAGCCCCGCACAUCGCAUCGCCCGCCCAGCCCCGCACAUCAUCACCCGCCCAGCCCCGCACAUCAUCGCCCGCUCAGCCCCGCACAUCGCAUCGCCCGCUCCGCCCCGCACAUCAUCACCGCUCCGCCCCGCACAUCAUCACCCGCUGAGCCCCGCACACCAUCACCCGCUGAGCCCCGCACACCAUCACCCGCUGAGCCCCGCACACCAUCACCCGCUGAGCCCCGCACACCAUCACCCGCUGAGCCCCGCACACCAUCACCCGCUGAGCCCCGCACACCAUCACCCGCUGAGCCCCGCACACCAUCACCCGCUGAGCCCCGCACACCAUCACCCGCUGAGCCCCGCACACCAUCACCCGCUGAGCCCCGCACACCAUCACCCGCUGAGCCCCGCACACCAUCACCCGCUGAGCCCCGCACACCAUCACCCGCUGAGCCCCGCACACCAUCACCCGCUGAGCCCCGCACACCAUCACCCGCUGAGCCCCGCACACCAUCACCCGCUGAGCCCCGCACACCAUCACCCGCUGAGCCCCGCACACCGCCCGCUGAGCCCCGCACAUCGCAUCGCCCGCUCAUCAUCACCCGCUCCCGGCAGCCGAACACGGGGAAGGACCAUCCCAAAGGCUUUGUCCGAAAACAGCUGCGGUACAAACUGAGAUCACCGAUGUGCUUUCCACUCUCCGGAAGGCAGAGCAGCAGCAGCUCAGGCGGUGCAGGGUGACUGCCCACCUCACCUUUCCAUCCCAGAGAAGGACCAAGGUGUGCUCCAGGCACUGCUGGGUUUCCUUGGCACUGAUGCCCCACCCAGGGAGAUAUUCAGGCUCCCUCCUCAAAAGCCAGUGCAAACCUGAAAAACCUUAUUCCUCACCAACCCUGAGCUGCCCCUAUAUAAAGAUUUUCUUUCUGCUGCUCUGCUUGCAUCCACCACUCCAAAACUGAGAUUUCUUCCAGGCUCAGUCGUCUUCGGACUCCUCUUCCAAAGCCUCCCUGGUCCAGGGAAGAGGAUGUGGCAUCAUUAUUAUGCUGUAACUGUACACUGCCAUAACUACAGCCCUACUGCCCUUUCUGUCCACACACACUCAAAACACUUGCCCAAAGCAUUUCACUCUUUAUACCAAGGCAAAGACAAAAGCUGGUAUUUAAGGAAGUGAAUGCUG